rnacentral:rRNA from 1 species
CCUAGCCCUAAACAUUGAUAGCAUCCUACAUCUGCUAUCCGCCUGGGAACUACGAGCUUUAGCUUGAAACCCAAAGGACUUGGCGGUGCUUUAGAUCCACCUAGAGGAGCCUGUUCUAGAACCGAUAACCCCCGUUUAACCUCACCCCUCCUUGUUAUCCCCGCCUAUAUACCGCCGUCGUCAGCUUACCCUGUGAAGGCCUCAUAGUAAGCAAAAUUGGCAGAGCCCAAAACGUCAGGUCGAGGUGUAGCGUAUGGAGGGGGAAGAAAUGGGCUACAUUCCCUACAUUAGGGAAUACGAACGACGUACUGAAAUCUUACGUCCAAAGGAGGAUUUAGCAGUAAAUAGAAAAUAGAGAGUUCUACUGAAAUCGGCCCUGAAGCGCGCAC